AUUAACCAUUGUGCUAAUAACAGAAAUAUACCGUGGAGAAGUUAACAUGGGUAACAUGCGUAUAUUAAUGGAUAUAUUAAUCAUUCAGAUUUUUGUGGAAAGACAGUUUGAGAGAUACAGAGACAGAGAGACAGAUUGAGAGAGAGACAGACGGAGAAAGGGAGACAGAUUGAGGGAUAUAGAGAGAGACAGAAGGAAAGAGACAGACAUGAGAGAAGGGCAGAAGUGUGGCAGUGUUAAAAAAAACACAACGUUAGAAGAUUGAACUUUUCAACUCCACUUCAGCGCCAUUUCUACGCACUCUGCAUUGCUGGAACGGCCUGACGGACUCCGGGCUGCAUUUCUUCUUGAGGUAACUUGCCUACAUACAUCAUCUAAGCUAUAUUUUAAUGUGAUGCUAUGUUUUCCAUAAUUUUGCAUCACCGUUAUUUGUAAUAACGUGAUGUAACGUUAGGUUAUGGGUUUCUGCACUGAACGUUAGCUAGCUAGCUAGCAUUAGUUUACCAAACAUUGGCUAGGGAAAUGUUUCAAUGUAAUUACUUUGGCAGGUCGGUUAAAACACCAAGGGGUUAUGUGCUUCAUUUCAAACUUCAUAGAAAUAAACCACGUUGUUUGUUUAAGCGCGUUUAAGCUGGUUGCAAAGAGACCUUUGUUCGACAUGGAGCAUUUAAGGCUCAUUUCUACCGGACACAUAUUGUUAACUUAUCAGCUUCUGUGAACGUUACUGUAAGGACAGCUCUCAAAUGCGGUGUGGCGUUAUGUGAACGUCACUGUCAAAAUACAAAACAGCUAAUGGCUCAUUUGAAGGAGCAUCUCUUGGAAGGACGCGUGAGUUGUCGAGUAAGUGGAUGUAAAAACGUUUUCUUGGUCAAAUCCUCAUUCACCGCUAACAUGUCACACAAAAUGUAUACAAAAUGUAUAAUUGAUGGGAUUCAUUAUAUGUGCAGUUAUCCUGGUUGUUAAAAAAUUAACCACAUAAAACAUGAAGCUAAGUCUUGAUUGAGUCUUAAGAGUGAAUGUCAUGCUGUCAGUCCAGCAGGUCCCCCUGUGUUUGUUUGUUUGCUUUGCCUGUGUGUCCCCUGUCUCUGCAAGGAGGUGUGGUCUUCCCCUGUUCGUCCCGAAGGGCGUGGCUGGAACAGCUAGCUGACAGCAAUCAGCCAUCAGGGGACUCUCCUACAUCAACCCGGGUCUUCCUGCCAUUCAGCGCCAGAUCGUUCUGUUAUCAGAGUGGUAACUACGUAUUCAUGCCAUUUGGCUAUUAGACGCUGUCUUUGUUCACAUGGUCCUGUUUUUUGCCACGUUGAUGUCUAUGUGCUAAAAUGAGUCCUCUUUUAACAUUCAGCCUGACUGAGAGGAUCCUCCCAAUCCGCAGUGAACACCUGAGGAUACAAGUCCUCAAGCAGAAGUCCCGAACCGCUCCGCUUUCUGGAUCUUGAUUUACAAUAAGCUUUAUUUAAUAUUUCCUGAUGUUGACUGAAAUAUAUGCCAACCAAUUGUAAUACAGUAUGC
ensembl:lncRNA